UACAGAGAGUGCAAGCGUUAUUCGGAUUCACUGGGCGUAAAGGGUGCGCAGGUGGUGAAGUGUGUUAGGCGUGAAAGCCCGGGGCUUAACCCCGGAAUUGCACCUAAAACUACAUGGCUAGAGCAUUGGAGAGGGGAGCAGAAUUCACGGUGUAGCAGUGAAAUGCGUAGAUAUCGUGAGGAAUACCAGAGGCGAAGGCGGCUCCCUGGACAAUUGCUGACACUCAGGCACGAAAGCGUGGGGAGCAAAAGGG
rnacentral:rRNA from 1 species